GGGGGGGUGGUGGUGGUGGGGGGUGUGGGGGUGUGGGGGAGGAUGCAAGUUGUAUUAUGAAUUCAACUUAAAUGUUUUUGAAUAGCACUAACUCAGAGGAAACAGUAGGAAGAAAACAAAAUAAAGAGUAGCAGAGGAGAGAACACAGAAUUCUACAGAGGAAAUGUUACUAAGAUUCAUCAAUGCACAGUUGCUCACUUGCAAUAUGGUCCGUCCACUCUGUAUAUUGACAAUGAAACUAGCCCUAGCUAACAGAUUUUCUAAUGCAUUUGAUAAAUGGACUUUAUAUUGGGACAUUUUCCUUGCAUCAAGUCCUACCACCAAAGAACCCGUGUCUUCAAAGGUGGCAUUAAGCUAUUGCUGCAAGUCACGUGUGCUUUUAACUCCUUGCUACUACUGUAAUUAUAAGAUUGCAGUGCAAAGGAAAAUUAUCAGAAUCUGGUAACGCUAAAGCAGCUACCACUGACAUUCUUAGAACUAUUACUAUCAAGAAUGAAAGCUACAGAUUCUUGAUUACAGCUCAUUAUCCUUGAUAAUAUUUUUCCUUUGCGAUGGUCUAUAAGCAUGGAAGGGAUAGAUCCUCGAAUCAUGGAGACUUAACCAAAUUCAAUCACCUCCAAGAAAUUUCCAG
rnacentral:misc_RNA from 1 species